rnacentral:rRNA from 1 species
AGCGAACGCUGGCGGCAUGCUUAACACAUGCAAGUCGCACGGGCGGGGCAACUCUGUCAGUGCGGACGGGUGAGUAACGCGUAGGUAUCUAUCCUUGGGUGGGGGACAACUGUGGGAAACUACAGCUAAUACCGCAUGAUAACUGAGGUUUAAAGGCGCAAGUCGCCUGGGGAGGAGCCUGCGUACGAUUAGCUAGUUGGUGGGGUAAAGGCCUACCAAGGCUGCGAUCGAGCUGGUCUGAGAGGAUGAUCAGCCACAUUGGGACUGAGACACGGCCCAAACUCCUACGGGAGGCAGCAGUGGGGAAUAUUGGACAAUGGGCGAAAGCCUGAUCCAGCAAUGCCGCGUGUGUG